AAGUCGUAACAAGGUUUCCGUAGGUGAACCUGCGGAAGGAUCAUUAACAAUUUUUACUUGACUAUAGAAUCCAGCGAAAGUUGGAAACUUGGUCAUUUUACACACCUGUGAACUGUACUACCGCUUCUGUUGGAAUGUUGUGGGUUAGUAAAGGACAGCCAAACUUUACUAUUGAGCAUAAAGGCAGAAGCAGUCUUUUUCGGUCUAGUAUGUUUCGGCUUACUAGAACGGCAAGGACAAAUAACCCUCACCUUUGGUGAAUUGUUGUAAAUAGUGUUGGUUUUUGGAUAAUACGGCAAAAUAUAACUUUUAACAAUGGAUCUCUAGGCUCUU
rnacentral:misc_RNA from 1 species